rnacentral:rRNA from 1 species
UACGUAGGGACCAAGCGUUGUUCGGAUUUACUGGGCGUAAAGGGCGCGUAGGCGGCAAUUCAAGUCAUCUGUGAAAUCUUCGGGCUUAACUCGAAACGGUCAGAUGAUACUGUCUUGCUAGAGUGCAGAAGGGGCAAUCGGAAUUCUUGGUGUAGCGGUGAAAUGCGUAGAUAUCGAGAGGAACACCAGAGGUGAAGACGGGUUGCUAGGCCGACACUGACGCUGAAGCGCGAAAGCUAGGGGAGCGAACGGG